AAGAGGUCUUAGAAGGGAAAGUUUGAUUGGACUAAUUCAAGCGGUGAGGUUGAAGGUUUAGGUAGUUGGAAACUGGAGAAGCUGAAGAAUAUGGCUGGUGAGGAAGGUAGAAGUUGGGUAGAAAUGAGUCUAGAUUUAAGAGUGCCCUAGAAAGACUAGAAAGUCCCGUGGGGGAAUUUCCAGAAGCAGUUUCUAGAUGUUCGACGUAAAAACAAAACCCAGAGUGAAGAAGAAUCAAGGUUUUUCUUAACAGAUCUUAGAAAGUGAAUACAUGAAAUCAAAAAAGAGGAGAGCGUUUUUAUUGAGCUUUUGCUUAUUUUAAAUCUGUUUUAAUGAUGAUAAUACUGUUGUUAUACUCCAAUAAAGCUGGGAGACCCAGAGGGGAAGAAAAAGGAAGAGAUUUCUUAGCUAUUGUAACCAAUAAAGGCAGAGUUAAUGGUGCUAAAGGGCAUCAGACUGUGGCACCCUGAAAUGUCAUACUUCAGCAUGAUCAUUAUUUUCAGCUGAAAACAAGUCAGCAUCAACAGACGCAGGAAGAAUUCUCUAGAACUCCCCUUAUCUGCUAAAGGCAGUGCAUGAAUAUCCCUUUGUGAAGGUUUCUGCCCCCUCCCCCAACUCCUCAAUCAGGAAGGAGGGAGGGACUCUUAUCACUCGGGAUAGUCAACACCCAGAAGGGUUUGCGUAAACAGAUAACUGAAACAACCCUUAUCUUCCAUCAGUUUCCCCGUAUAUUUCCCCACACUUUGUUGACCCUUGAAACUCAAGCCCCUUCUUUGUUACAAUGGUGCUUAAACCCUGAGUCUGAGUGCUUCUCUUUGUUCUACAUCUUUUUGGUGAACUUCUGUGCAUGUAAAUAAUUUAUAAAAAUAGUGUGCC